CAAAAACAUCGCCUCUUGCUAAACCGAAAGUAUAAGAGGUCCCGCCUGCCCUGUGACUAUAUGUUUAACGGCCGCGGUAUUUUGACCGUGCGAAGGUAGCGCAAUCACUUGUCUUUUAAAUGGGGACCUGUAUGAAUGGCAUAACGAGGGCUUAACUGUCUCCUCUUUCAAGUCAAUGAAAUUGAUCUCCCCGUGCAGAAUUAACUGUCUCCUCUUUCAAGCGAGGAUAGAUACAUAAGACGAGAAGACCCUAUGGAGCUUUAGACACUAAAGCAGAUCAGUAUUAAUACCCUGAACAUAGACUACGAAUAAACUGACCCCUGCCCUAAUGUCUUUGGUUGGGGCGACCGCGGAGAAAAAUAAAACCCCCGCAAGGACUAAAUGUACUACAUUCACAAACAAGAGCGACAGCUCUAACUAACAGAACUUCUGACCAAUAAGAUCCGGCAAUGCCGAUCAAUGAACCGAGU
rnacentral:rRNA from 1 species